AUGCGUAGUAGCGUAGUAGUUUAGGCAAUCAGAUAUUUUAUGAUGAUUGAAUGUGGAAAAGUUGAAUAUUAUACUUUGCAAUGUUCAUAUGCACAUGCAUAUGAACGCAUGCAUUCAUAUGUGUGAUUCCCUGAUGUCCAACUCAGGUUCGGGAAGCUGGACUCGUCAUAAUGCCUCGUGUCAAUCGAGUAGCCUGCUGAAGUUCUAAAGUUUUCAUUCGCCCUUCGACGCCAAGUAGAGAGACUCAUAGAGAGAUUAUCGAACAGCGACGAUGGACAGGAAGACAUUGUUUUCUUUGUGGGCUCAACUGACCCCUGCUUCCAUCAUGAUGGAGGACAGGGAGUCAUACACCGAGGAGACCAGGCUCGUCCCCGCCCCCCCUACUGAGGCCAAGCCCCCGGGCCUUAACCCCCGCUACCCUCGUGGGGCUAGGCUGCCCUGGUUGGCUGCCCCAGCUGGUGGCAGCAACGAGAGGGUCGUCCUCCGCCCCCCUACUGAGGCCAAGCCCCCGGGCCUUAACCCCCGCUACCCUCGUGGGGCUAGGCUGCCCCGGUUGGCUGUGGCUGAGGAGGCUGACGACCAGGAAGCCUGGAUCCAGGCGGCCCACUCCGACACCGUGUCCCUCUGUGCACGGGCUCAGGGUGCCGCCUCGAGCCAGGAGACUUCCCCGGGCCGAACCCCCCCAGAAGUGGCUGACCCUGACCACCAUCGUGGGGCUAGGCUGCCCCGGUUGGCUGUCCCAGCCGCUGGCGCCAACGACAGGAUCGUCCUCUGCCCUACUGAGGCCAAGCCCCCACAUAGACCCCCAGUGUCCUUCACAGUGGAUCUGCGGGACGCCCCGUUGAGCUCCGCCUCCUCGUCCCGGAACGCCGCUGCCUCCGCCCGCCGCCGGGCGCACGGUGGCGCCGAGGCGGACCUCUCUGGGACGGAGCGCUCCCAGUCCGCCAACGGCCAGAGGUCCCAGGCCCCAGGCAGCCCGCCGGCCUCUGACGUUCCUGAAGGCGUGGCGGGCAGAGGUAAGUACGCGUUGAGCCCGUUUCCCCCUGUGCAGGAGCGUCUGAGGAACGGCAGGAUCCCCCGGGAGAAGCUCCGGGGCCCGCCCCCCCACCAGGCAGGGGAAGAGGCCGGGCCCUCUGGGAAGAGGCAGAAGAACGGGGGCCGCUGUUUCCCCGACCAGAGGUUGACCGCUGAGCCCGAGCUGGAGGAGAAGCUGUUGGAUAGCAGAGAUGAGCCGGCCCAGGGCUCCCUCAGCGGCCCCCAG
ensembl:lncRNA